UGUACUGAUGCAAAGCUGACAAGCCUAUCAGACAGUGUGCCGACAUUUGAUAAGGCUCACGCCAUAACGAAAGGCGAACUUUCAAAGCCGAUCUCUCAAAACAAGCAAUUUUCCAAACCCUUUCCAAUCCUCGACACAGCAAAACGGUCCCGAAGCCUUUUAGUUGAAAAAAUGUGCGCCACUGCCACAACCGGAUGCGCGAGGCUCGGUUAAGUCCGCUUCUGUCCGCGAUGCUGACUUAUUACAUGAAAUGCCCAAAUCGUGCAAUCGUUGAAUCCAGUAUUUAACGCGAUUCAUAUCCCCACCACCAACCACGCCAGACAGUUGUUGAUUUGCUGCAAUCUUCAGUCAGUACACCGACACUAUCAAUUGAGUACCCAGCCCAAAGAUGUGUCCUCGGACAACACCCGCACACGCAAAGCCGUAUCGUUUCGGUAAGCAGAUCACGCCGACUCGCACCAUAAGGCGUCGCGGAAGGUCUCACACCAUGGGACCAAGGUUCGCUUAUCGCCGGGUACGUACGGAUGACCGAGACAUUGAGAUAUUGAAGAAUCGGCUAAUCAAUCAUUCAACCGUCGUAUGGCGCUAUCUGAAAAGGCAAUCCAACGGAUGACACCACGUGACGAUCGUGAUCACAAUGCUCGUUUUAAAUGGCACUGCAGCAUGUCGCUCGUAGUUAAUGGAGAAUCCCCGUUUAAGAAGCGCCAGCUCAUCGACCCAGUAACACAUUGAACCUUUUUUUUCGCCAUUAAAAAUUUCCAAGUGCGAUCAUAACACCUGCCAGACAGGCACGUUUGUUUGCAAAUAAACAAACACUGCCACUACACCACUACUACCGUACAGCAAUCACAUCGUGGUGGUGGUGUUGGUGGUGUUGAACACACAACCUCGUGUUGCACACACUGCACAGUGCACUCAAUCCAACGCAGCCACUU